rnacentral:rRNA from 1 species
UAACACAUGCAAGUCGAACGGGAAAACAGGGGCAACUCUGUGAGUACAGUGGCGUACGGGUGAGUAGCACGUGACUACCUACCCUCGAGUGGGGGAUAACCCCGGGAAACCGGGGCUAAUACCGCAUAACAUCGCAAGAUCAAAGGAGUAAUCCGCUUGAGGAGGGGGUCGCGGCUGAUUAGCUAGUUGGUGAGGUAAUGGCUCACCAAGGCGAUGAUCGGUAGCCGGCCUGAGAGGGCGCACGGCCACACUGGAACUGAAACACGGUCCAGACUCCUACGGGAGGCAGCAGUGGGGAAUUUUGCGCAAUGGGGGAAACCCUGACGCAGCAACGCCGCGUGGAGGAUGAAGUCCCUUGGGACGUAAACUCCUUUCGACCCGGACGAUAAUGACGGUACGGGUGGAAGAAGCACCGGCUAACUUCGUGCCAGCAGCCGCGGUAAUACGAGGGGUGCGAGCGUNGUUCGGAAUUAUUGGGCGUAAAGGGCGCGUAGGCGGUGCGGUAAGUCACCUGUGAAAUCUCCCGGCUUAACUGGGAGCUUGCAGGCGAAACUGCCGUGCUG